UAGAUGGAGACUUACAAGGGGCAGGAGC
rnacentral:piRNA from 1 species